rnacentral:misc_RNA from 1 species
GAUGAAGAACGUAGCGAAAUGCGAUAAGUAAUGUGAAUUGCAGAAUUCAGUGAAUCAUCGAAUCUUUGAACGCUCAUUGCGCCCCCUGGUAUUCCGGGGGGCAUGCCUGUUCGAGCGUCAUUUCAACCCUCAAGCUCUGCUUGGUAUUGAGUCCAUGUCAGCAAUGGCAGGCUCCAAAAUCAGUGGCGGCGCCGCUGGGUCCUGAACGUAGUAAUAUCUCUCGUUACAGGUGCUCGGCGUGCUUCUGCCAAAACCCCAAUUUUUCUAUGGUUGACCUCGGAUCAGGUAGGGAUACCCGCUGAACUUAAGCAUAUCAAUAAGCGGAGGA